rnacentral:rRNA from 1 species
GAGAUGUGUGAUGACGCAUAUCAAUAAGCGGAGGAAAAGAAACUAACAAGGAUUCCCUAGUAACGGCGAGUGAAGCGGGAAGAGCUCAAAUUUGAAUCUUCAAGGUUCUACCUUGACGAAUUGUAGUUUAUAGAAGUGUCUUCUGUUAGUAGAGUGGCAAAAGUUCUUUGGAAUAGGACAUCAUAGAGGGUGAGAAUCCCGUAUUUGGUCAUUCUUUCUAGCUUUGUGAUACACUUUCAACGAGUCGGAUUGUUUGGGAAUGCAGUCCAAAAUGGGUGGUAAAUUUCAUCUAAAGCUAAAUAUUGGCGAGAGACCGAUAGCGAACAAGUACCGCGAGGGAAAGAUGAAAAGAACUUUGAAAAGAGAGUUAAACAGUACGUGAAAUUGUCAAAAGGGAAGCGUUUGACACCAGUGUUGUUUUUCCGAAAAUCAAUUACGAAUGUUUUGUUUUUAAGAAGUUAUGACUUCAUCGGCUUGCUUCUUUCUUUAUGAAACUUUCUUAAUGCACUUUUCGGUUAACAAGUCAACAUCAAUUUCUUUUGUUGUAAAAGGGUAUGAGGAAGGUGGCCUUCUUUUCGGAGAAAGUGUUUUAUAGCCUUGUACCUCUGCAAUCGGAGAGAUUGAGGUCUGCAGCGUAGAUCCUUCGGGGUUAGAUACAUUUGUGCUAAGUUAUAGCUUUUCAUAGACAACUUGUUGACUAUGUUAAGUCUUGUAGCUUACUCGCUUAUGCUAUUUUACCUACGCUUAGGAUGUUGAAGAUGUAGCACAUCAU